AUUGUCGCCUCCAAAGCCUUUGCUCUAUGCAUGGCUGGCGGAAAAUGGCCUCCCGUGCGCUCGUUCGCGUGGUUGGCCAAAAUCAGUGCCAAGGUCUAGAGCGCCUC
rnacentral:rRNA from 1 species